rnacentral:lncRNA from 1 species
CUUCCUCUGCUAGCUCUUAAUCCUGUGUGCUAAGUGCAAGUGCUAGCUAUUAAUCAUACCCCAUGCGGGCAACCAAACAAUGUGUAGUUGGAUGCGCUGAGACAAUGCAGGCAAACAAACAACAUGCCAAUGUUGAUCCAUUGAUGCAUGCAGUCCAUAUGCAGACAACCAAACAAAUUGCAGAUGUCGCAUAUGAGGUUGUUUUUCGAGAGCCAGGCUGAGUGCAGAAGUGUAUGCAAUGCAGAUACUGUAGCCGACGGCAACCAAAAACGCCCUUAUUCUUUCCAUUAACUAGAUGACACCCCGCACGUUGUUGCGGGAACUGUUGCAAGAAAAAUGAGAUAUGUUAGACAAAUGAAAUAUAAAUAAUUUGGAUAUACUUUUAGCCGUAUUUUUUCUUGGCUAAAAUAAAACCAUUUUAUGAGAUUGAACUGCAAAACUGGCUAGAAAAAUACAUAACAUUUCCUUUCAAAAAAAUAUUAACAUUAGUGGUUACAGUUCCCACUGGCAAAAUAUCAUGGCCUUCCAAACAUUUGUGCAUCGAAAACAUCUCGCCCGCAAAGAAUAAAUAAAUAUACCACAAAUCAAAUAGGCAUUGGAGAUUUGCUUCAGAGGUGGUAAUGAUUCUUCUUAGUUGCCCACAUCAUAGUGUGUAAGAAUUGAUGACAGCGAGAACAUAAAUUGCCAAUUCAGUUUGUCCCAUAAUUUCCGCACAUAAAAACCGAACACUGCUACACCAUACAUCAAUUAGCAUGAAAAAAGUUUCAUGAUGAAAUAAAAUGGUGAUGCAAUUUUGACUUAAUAAGGCAAGACCAGUCAAGGGAGAAAUCAUUAGAACUUAGCACCGUGAUGAACUUUCGGUCAAUAAUUGAACAUGGCAAUUCAGAAGCAUAUUGUGCAUUCAAUAUUCUACUCUUGGCAAUAUUGUAAGUCUGUAAUAUUCAUGGUUUGGGAAGUCAGGAUAACCUGUUCCAAGCGAAGGCAUGUACUUAACUGAACAAAUAUGACAAUGAAGAGAGAAUGGUGAAGUAAAUCUUACUGAUUUUGCAAAGCUAAACAUAAUUACAUUAAUUGAACUGAAGCAGUUCUAUAGGAUUCAAAGAAUAACAAUCUGUAAGGAUAAUUAAAGGAGGGUAUGUUCUUACUUCUAUAGAAUUGAGUGAAGAUUUGCUUCAGAGGUGGUAAUGAUUCUUCUUAGUUGCCCACACCAUAGUACUAUUUUUAGGUCCAUGCAAGACUAAUGAGAAUUGAAUGAAGAAAAUAGUAUGGCCUUCCUUCGAGUAUGUUUGUAUCAUAUACUUGUCAACACUGUCGGGUGCGCAUAUAUGCGGAAAUAAUUCACAACAUUAAAACAUGAGACUGACUGGAAGAGAACUAAUCCAGACAAAACCUUUUUUUUACCCCAUAAUCUAGACCAAAGUAACCUGCAAACGCCAAGAUAUUUUGAAUAUUCUGAAAUAUGUUCAAAACACAUCAGUACCUAAAAACAGAAGAUGUAUUGAACGACAAAGAAAAUUAUGGACAUCAUACCAUCAACAGAGAUCUGUGCAUUUUACAAGACAAUUUCUUCAGAGGUCUUCUUUAGCAAGGGGCAAUACAGUUUGUGCAAAUUUAUGCAAUCAUACCAACAAAAUGGCGUAGCAAGAGUUACCUUUAGUGAAUGGUCACAAAGAAAUUCAGAAACAUUAGUGAUCCAACAUGCUAGAUCAAAUAAGGCCAAUAGCAAGUAUGCAGCUUGAAAGUAGUACUGUAUAUGGUAUCUCGGGUGUACCUAGAUAUGCUAUUUAGUCUUGACUGCUAUUGUUCCUACUCAUCACAGCAGAUCAUGAUGCAGUUAUCUCAAAAAUCUGUUUGAAGCAGCAUCUCUCCUCCCUCCUGACCAUGCCAACACUUUCGUUGGCUGCUGCUACUACUUGCUGCAGUGCAGCCUACUCAUGCAUCGAAGGAAAAAAGAGAUGGAUGGUGAUAGUAGUGCGUGCGAUAGGGGACCACCAAGCCCUGCAUCGAAGGAAAAAAAAGAGACGAAUCGAGUGGCACAGGUGAGCGGGGACGGGGAGAGUAUUAAUGUUCAGAGAAGAUGUUACCGUAGGUAAGCACGCGUCAAAAGCAACAGCAGCCGGCGGCGGGGUUUGUCCUGACGCUAUCGAGCGGCCAGUGGGAGGAGGAGGCCACGGCUGUGAGCAGCGACGCCAACGGCUCGAACACGACCACCAAGAAGGCCGCUGCUCUAGUGAGCCGUCUCUCCUGCCGCCUCGCCAUCAGUCUGAAUUGACCUGAAGCUCGACCUCGCCGUCUCGUCCUCUUGGCUCUGAUGCGAUCGACGCCAACGACUCCAAGCGACCAGCGAGAAGGCGCUGCUCCGGUGAGCCGUCACUCCGCCUCGCCAGUCGCCACCAGUCUGAACCUUGACCUGAAGCUCGACCUCGCCGUCUCAUCUUCUUGGCUCUGAUGUGAUCGAUUGAUGGGUCCCCGUGUAAAUACAGAGUUGCAUCCUUUCCAUUACCGUGAUUUAAUGGACUUUGGGGAAGAUGAAGUGGGCGAGAAGUUUUGUGGAGAAGGUAGGACAUCGCAAUUGGGAAGAAGAGGGGGCGUCGUGUGAGGUCGCGGGCAUGGGGAAGAGGAAGUGUG